AACUCUCAACAACGGAUAUCUUGGCUCCCGCAACGAUGAAGAACGCAGCGAAAUGCGAUACGUAGUGUGAAUUGCAGAAUUCCGUGAACCAUCGAAUCUUUGAACGCAUAUUGCGCCCCACGGCCUCGGCCCAGGGCAUGUCUGCCUCAGCGUCUGUUUACCCCCUCUCCCCCCUCUCACAUACU
rnacentral:rRNA from 1 species